rnacentral:rRNA from 1 species
GAUGAACGCUAGCGGCAGGCCUAACACAUGCAAGUCGAACGGUAACAGCACUUCGGUGGCUGACGAGUGGCGCACGGGUGCGUAACGCGUAUACAAUCUACCUUUUACAGGGGGAUAGCCCAGAGAAAUUUGGAUUAAUACCCCAUGGCAUAUAUCUAUGGCAUCAUAUGUAUAUUAAAGAUCCAUCGGUAAGAGAUGAGUAUGCGUUCUAUUAGCUAGUAGGUGCGGUAACGGCGCACCUAGGCCACGAUAGAUAGGGGCCCUGAGAGGGGGAUCCCCCACACUGGUACUGAGACACGGACCAGACUCCUACGGGAGGCAGCAGUGAGGAAUAUUGGACAAUGGGCGAGAGCCUGAUCCAGCCAUGCCGCGUGCAGGAAGACGGCCCUAUGGGUUGUAAACUGCUUUUAUACGGGAAGAAACACCCCCUCGUGAGGGGGCU